AAUGCGACAUUCCUAGGUAGUGUCGCCGACCCCAUACAUUUAUUAAUGCGCAAGCGGAACGUAUUAUAAAACCCCUGACAAUAAAAUACGGGAUAGAAAAGCAGGAAGCAAAACCACAACAUAACACUUCCAUAAUUCAACAGAAUUACAAACAGAGGUCUACGGCCAAAAGUCUACAAAAGACCGGCUCUUAAAAAUGAAUUGUCCUACGACCUACAAGUCGGACACGUUCUCCAAUCUUAUGACUUCACCUCUGCAACUCUUCAAGGCCAACCAAAGCUAUUUGGUUGCUCCGUCCACCAGGGACCUGAAAUUUUAAUCCCACAACCGGGAUGAGACGAUGUCUCAGUAAGUUCAACCCCCUAAACCCCUAUUAGAAAGAAAAUACGCCCCGGGUGGCCUAGCCACAUCACACAGAAGACUUACCUCGCCUCAGCCUUCAUCUGCAGGUUAGCACAAUUUAUAUAAUUCAACCACGUACAAUUAUGAUAACCAAAUAACCAUGGCACAAUCACAUUAUCAAGACAAUUCAACCACUUGGAUCGUCUCAGCGAUCAAUCGACUUGGCCGAUUACAUGUCAUUCUAGCAAAUCAAUCAUUGCUCUCAAUCCCGGCCCUAUAGGAAGGUUUAAUAGACAGUGGCAAUCACGGCCUCACUCGGCACGACCUUUAAUUAGGUGGUCCAUCACGGCCUCACUGGGCACGACCUCUAAUAGGUGGUUAAUCACGGCCUCACUGGGCAUGACCUCUCAUAGGUGGUUCAUCACGGCCUCACUGGGCACGACCUCUCAUAGGUGGUUCAUCACGGCCUUAUUAGGCACGACCUCUAAUAGGUGGUUAAUCACGGCCUCACUAGGCACGACCUCUCAUAGGUGGUUCAUCACGGCCUCACUGGGCACGACCUCUCAUAGGUGGUUCAUCACGGCCUCACUGGGCACGACCUUUCCUAGGUGGUACAUCACAGCCUCACUGGGCAUGACCUUUCCUAGGUGGUACAUCACGGCCAAUCUCCCAUCAAUUUCUACACUUAGGAUUUUAUAAAGAAUCCCUAUUUAUCGCAAUCACACUCAAUUUGCCACAACCAAUCAUCAAAUUCAAAUUCUAAAUGCACAGCAGCGAUCAGCACGAAAUUCUGAGAGUUUAGGGUCCAGACAAAAUUUUCGGAAUUUAUUAAAUAAUUAAAUUUAUUCCGAAAAUAAUUAAAUAAUAAUAUUCAUAUUUUUCACGAUGCACACUCAAUUUAUAAUAUCCAAUCAUCAAUUUCAAAAUCCAACUACACAGCAGCGAUCGGUACGAAAUUCUGAGCAACCGGGAUCAAAAAUAAUUUUUCCGUUUUUUUUUAAUAUAAUAAUAUUUUAAUAAUUUCGGAAUAUAAUAUAAUAUUAUAAAUUUCCAGAAUUUCGAAGCAAUUAAAUAAUUCAAAAUUAAAAUCCUAUUAUGUCACAUCAAGGCUUUAUAUUAACAAUAAACAUACUUAACUUUAAACUAAACACACUUUAACUUAAUUAAACACCAUAAUCUAAUCAUCAACCAAUUAAACUAAUUCAACCCACUAAGCUUACUUAACUUAGGCUAAGCACACUUAGGGCAUCAUUAACCGUCUAAUCAAGGUUUAGUGAGUUAAACUCACCGGAUUAGCGAGCCGAGCGAACCAAAACGACGAGGACGACGCGAGGAUCGACUUUCCUCAAGGCGGACCGAGCAUCCGGGCUCGGGAAGGCGGCCAAAACGGCCCACGAAGGAGCUGCCAUACCCGUUUUCUUCUUCUCUGUUUGCUGCUGGUUGGGGGCGAAGGAGGGCAGAUCCGGGGCAGGUUGGGGUUGGGAGUGGGCGGAGGAGCUACGACGGUGGCUGGCGGCGACGAACGGCGGUGCACGGCGGCGACGAACGAGCUCCGGCAGCUCUUGCGCGAGCUGAACAGCAGCUCGGGACGACGAGCUGGGCGAAGCGGGAGGAGCGGCGCGCGGGUGCGGGCUUCGCGCGGACGGUGGUGGUAGCGGCGAGCUUCGGCGACGGCGGCCGACGGCGAUUCGGCUGGGCUACAGCCAGCUUCGACACCUCCUCAGAUCUGCUGGGUUUUCAAGCAGAAACCGGAGCCGGAGAAGAGAGGAGAGAGGGCGACGGUGGUGCGGCCGGUGGUGCGGGCGGGCGGCGAGCAGCUUGGCGGUGCAAACGGCGGCGACGAGCGGCGGAGGGGGCGUGCGUGCGGGCUGGCGAGCUGCUGGUUCUCGGUCGGUUUUCCCCUCCCCACGUCCAAGAAGUUCCAAGGUUGAAG
rnacentral:lncRNA from 1 species